CUCAAUUCUUUAAAAUUUCACCUUUUAGGUACUCAAUUCUUUUUUUCUUUGCUUUUGGGUACUGAGUUAAGAAUUCAAGCCAAAAAAAUUAAAUCAACCAAAGAAUUGAGUACCUUGGGUUAAAGAAUUUAGUACCCUUGGUUAAGUAUGUGGGCCCCACCCGAUUAAAAAAUUAAUAUUUAUAUAUAAAAAAAAAAUUCUCAAUUGCUCAUCUCUCUCUCUUUCAUACAAGGGGAGUAACUCAGCAGAAUCUAACUUCAUCGACCGAUGGAAAUCUUCGUCUCAAGGGGAGUUUCUCGGAUCGUUUGGAUGAAUCUGGAUGUCAACUCAAACUCAAAGGAGGUAAUUUUUCUCUAGGAGACCUUUAAUUAAUUAAAAGUGGCGCAAAAGAUUGUUUAUACGAGUAUUGCACAGGUUAGCUUGAUGAUGUGAAGUUCGAGAUUUGACAAUCGCAUUGUCAAGGGAUGGUGUGAUUGAGUGUAUUCAUUCUUUGUGUCAAACUUAUUUAUGCUUGGCUAUUUUAAUUAUGUUUUGGGAUUUUGAAUAUUGGUUUGGUUUUAAAUAAGGGCCUUAUAUGGUUCCAAUUUGUAAGCUUUGAUUUAUUGAUUUUCUAAACUAUGUUAUUUUAAAGACUUAAGUUUGAUUUUCCGCUGCGAUACUUUGAUAAAGCCUUAACGUUUUAACACGUGGCGGUAACAUGUCAAUGGUUCU